rnacentral:rRNA from 1 species
GGUUUAAUUCGAAGCAACGCGAAGAACCUUACCAAGUCUUGACAUCCCGAUGACAAGCUAUGUAAUGUAGCCUCUCUUCGGAGCAUCGGUGACAGGUGGUGCAUGGUUGUCGUCAGCUCGUGUCGUGAGAUGUUGGGUUAAGUCCCGCAACGAGCGCAACCCCUGUUCUUAGUAGCCAGCGGUUCGGCCGGCACUCUAGGGAGACGUGCCAGGGAUAACCGUGGAGGAAGGUGGGGGAUG